rnacentral:rRNA from 1 species
AGAGUUUGAUCAUGGCUCAGAUUGAACGCUGGCGGCAGGCUUAACACAUGCAAGUCGAACGGUAACAGGAGAAAGCUUGCUUUCUUGCUGACGAGUGGCGGACGGGUGAGUAAUGCUUGGGAAUCUGGCUUAUGGAGGGGGAUAACUACGGGAAACUGUAGCUAAUACCGCGUAAUAUCUUCGGAUUAAAGGGUGGGACUUUCGGGCCACCUGCCAUAAGAUGAGCCCAAGUGGGAUUAGGUAGUUGGUGGGGUAAAGGCCUACCAAGCCGACGAUCUCUAGCUGGUCUAAGAGGAUGACCAGCCACACUGGAACUGAGACACGGUCCAGACUCCUACGGGAGGCAGCAGUGGGGAAUAUUGCACAAUGGGGGGAACCCUGAUGCAGCCAUGCCGCGUGAAUGAAGAAGGCCUUCGGGUUGUAAAGUUCUUUCGGUGAUGAGGAAGGUGUUUGUUUUAAUAGAACAAGCAAUUGACGUUAGUCACAGAAGAAGCACCGGCUAACUCCGUGCCAGCAGCCGCGGUAAUACGGAGGGUGCGAGCGUUAAUCGGAAUGACUGGGCGUAAAGGGCACGCAGGCGGUGACUUAAGUGAGAUGUGAAAGCCCCGAGCUUAACUUGGGAAUUGCAUUUCAUACUGGGUCGCUAGAGUAUUUUAGGGAGGGGUAGAAUUCCACGUGUAGCGGUGAAAUGCGUAGAGAUGUGGAGGAAUACCGAAGGCGAAGGCAGCCCCCUGGGAAUAUACUGACGCUCAUGUGCGAAAGCGUGGGGAGCAAACAGGAUUAGAUACCCUGGUAGUCCACGCUGUAAACGCUGUCGAUUUGGGGAUUGGGCUUAGAGCUUGGUGCCCGUAGCU